UCAGCCGCCGCGGGAACACCGGCGGCCCGAGUGGUGAUCGUGAUAUUGGGUCUAAAGGGUCCGUAGCCGGUUUGGUCAGUCCUCCGGGAAAUCUGAUAGCUCAACUAUUAGGCUUUCGGGGGAUACUGCCAGACUUGGAACCGGGAGAGGUAAGAGGUACUACAGGGGUAGGAGUGAAAUCUUGUAAUCCCUGUGGGACCACCUGUGGCGAAGGCGUCUUACCAGAACGGGUUCGACGGUGAGGGACGAAAGCUGGGGGCACGAACCGGAUUAGAUACCCGGGUAGUCCCAGCCGUAAACGAUGCUCGCUAGGUGUCAGGCAUGGCGCGACCGUGUCUGGUGCCGCAGGGAAGCCGUGAAGCGAGCCACCUGGGAAGUACGGCCGCAAGGCUGAAACUUAAAGGAAUUGGCGGGGGAGCACAACAACGGGUGGAAGCCUGCGGUUUAAUUGGACUCAACGCCGGACAACUCACCGGGGGCGACAGCAAUAUGUAGGCCAAGCUGAAGACUUUGCCUGAAUCGCUGAGAAGAGGUGCAUGG
rnacentral:rRNA from 1 species